rnacentral:rRNA from 1 species
AGGUCCCCGAGCGUUGUCCGGAUUUAUUGGGCGUAAAGGGAGCGCAGGCGGUCAGGAAAGUCUGGAGUAAAAGGCUAUGGCUCAACCAUAGUGUGCUCUGGAAACUGUCUGACUUGAGUGCAGAAGGGGAGAGUGGAAUUCCAUGUGUAGCGGUGAAAUGCGUAGAUAUAUGGAGGAACACCAGUGGCGAAAGCGGCUCUCUGGUCUGUCACUGACGCUGAGGCUCGAAAGCGUGGGUAGCGAACAGGAUUAGAUACCCUGGUAGUCCACGCCGUAAACGAUGAGUGCUAGGUGUUAGGCCCUUUCCGGGGCUUAGUGCCGGAGCUAACGCAAUAAGCACUCCGCCUGGGGAGUACGACCGCAAGGUUGAAACUCAAAGGAAUUGACGGGGGCCCGCACAAGCGGUGGAGCAUGUGGUUUAAUUCGAAGCAACGCGAAGAACCUUACCAGGUCUUGACAUCCCGAUGCUAUUCUUAGAGAUAGGAAGUUACUUCGGUACAUCGGAGACAGGUGGUGCAUGGUUGUCGUCAGCUCGUGUCGUGAGAUGUUGGGUUAAGUCCCGCAACGAGCGCAACCCUUAUUGUUAGUUGCCAUCAUUAAGUUGGGCACUCUAGCGAGACUGCCGGUAAUAAACCGGAGGAAGGUGGGGAUGACGUCAAAUCAUCAUGCCCCUUAUGACCUGGGCUACACACGUGCUACAAUGGUCGGUACAACGAGUUGCGAGCCGGUGACGGCAAGCUAAUCUCUGAAAGCCGAUCUCAGUUCGGAUUGGAGGCUGCAACUCGCCUCCAUGAAGUCGGAAUCGCUAGUAAUCGCGGAUCAGCACGCCGCGGUGAAUACGUUCCCGGGCCUUGUACACACCGCCCGUCACACCACGAGAGUUUGUAACACCCGAAGUC